AGAGUUUGAUCCUGGCUCAGGACUAACGCUGGCGGCAUGCUUUAUAUAUGCAAGUCGUACGGAACUAAUUAGCUUGCUUUUUAGUUUAGUGGCGCACGGGUGAGUAAUGCGUAGACAACCUGCCCCGAAGAUUGGGAUAACAGGCCGAAAGGUCUGCUACUACCGGAUAAGCCCCUGAGUACUUUGGUACAAAGGGGAAAAUGGUGGCUUCUAUUUGUAAGCUACCGCUUCGGGAGGGGUCUGCGUCCUAUUAGCUAGUUGGUAGGGUAAUGGCCUACCAAGGCGAUGAUGGGUAACCGGCUUGAGAGAGUGGCCGGUUACACUGGAAUUGAGAUACGGUCUAGACUCCUACGGGAGGUAGUAGUAGGGAAUUUUUCGUAAUGGGCGAAAGCCUGACGGAGCGAUGCCGCGUGAGCGAUGAAGGCCUUCGGGUUGUAAAGCUCUGUCACGGGGGAAGAAGGGCAGUAGUUCGAAUAGGGCUACUGUUUGACGGUACCUCGAGAGGAAGCCCCGGCUAAUUACGUGCCAGUAGUUGUGGUAAUACGUAAGGGGCAAGCGUUGUCCGGAUUCACUGGGCGUAAAGGGCGCGUAGGCGGCUCGACAAGUCAGAGGUGGAAGCUAUGGGCUCAACCCAUAAAUUGCCUUUGAAACUGUCAGGCUUGAGUUCUGCAGGGGAAAGUGGAAUUCAUGGUGUAGCGGUGAAAUGCGUAGAUAUCAUGGAGAACACCUGUGGUGAAGGUGGUUUUCUGGGCAGAAACUGACGCUGAGGCGCGAAAGCUAGGGGAGCGAACAGGAUUAGAUAUCCUGGUAGUUUUAGCUGUAAACGUUGAGUACUAGGUGUCGGGGCGGAUGUUCUCGGUGCCGGCGCUAACGCAUUAAGUACUCCGCCUGGGGACUACGACCGCAAGGUUAAAACUCAAAGGAAUUGACGGGUUUUGUAUAAGCGGUGGAGCAUGUGGUUUAAUUUGAUUAUGUGAAAAAUUUUAUUAGGAUUUGAUAUUUUUGGCCAUCCUAUGAAAAUAGGUUUAGGGAGUGAUCCCUUUGGGUGAUAGGUGGUGUAUGGCUGUCGUCAGCUCGUGUUGUGAGAUGUUGGGUUAAGUUUCGCAACGAGCGUAACCCCUAUCGUUAGUUGCCAGUAUUUAGUUGGGGAUUCUAACGAGAUUGUUUGUAAUAAGUGGGAGGAAGGUGGGGAUGACGUUAAGUCAGCAUGUUUUUUAUGUCCUGGGUUAUAUAUGUGUUAUAAUGGUUGGUAUUAAGAGUUGCAAAACCGCAAGGUAGAGCUAAUCUCCAAAGU
rnacentral:rRNA from 1 species